rnacentral:rRNA from 1 species
GACGAACGCUGGCGGCGUGCCCAAUACAUGCAAGUUGAGCGCUGAAGGUUGGUACUUGUACCAACUGGAUGAGCAGCGAACGGGUGAGUAACGCGUGGGGAAUCUGCCUUUGAGCGGGGGACAACAUUUGGAAACGAAUGCUAAUACCGCAUAAAAACUUUAAACACAAGUUUUAAGUUUGAAAGAUGCAAUUGCAUCACUCAAAGAUGAUCCCGCGUUGUAUUAGCUAGUUGGUGAGGUAAAGGCUCACCAAGGCGAUGAUACAUAGCCGACCUGAGAGGGUGAUCGGCCACAUUGGGACUGAGACACGGCCCAAACUCCUACGGGAGGCAGCAGUAGGGAAUCUUCGGCAAUGGACGAAAGUCUGACCGAGCAACGCCGCGUGAGUGAAGAAGGUUUUCGGAUCGUAAAACUCUGUUGGUAGAGAAGAGCGUUGGUGAGAGUGGAAAGCUCAUCAAGUGACGGUAACUACCCAGAAAGGGACGGCUAACUACGUG